CUCAACAGGCGUUCAUGAAUUUCCCGGUGGUAAUAAAGAGUCGAAAAGAAAUAACAAAAUUUCAUAAAGGCUUGCACUAGUUCCAAGCUGUGUGGAGACAUCAUGGAAAGGUGGUUCUCCUCAAAAGCUGCCGAGAUGACUACAGAAAACAAAUGGAGAGGAUCUUGACUCUGCCUCCAGCUGUGGCAGCUUUUCCACCUAGAGAGAGGGAGUGGCUGAAGGAUGAUGGCCGUUCCCUUCCCUGCCUCCUCGAAGAGACAUUCACUGCCCGCUCUGUGCUCCCAGUGUCAGAGAAAGGACAGGCCCUUUCCAUACUAAGGUUUUGGCAAGUACUAUCUGAACUUUUAAGAAGCUGAAAGACCCUGCAGGGAUUCUGCUGCCAAAGUUUUUGAGGCAAUCAGACACAUGGCACAGUGGAAGAACAUUGAACUUGAAUUCAUGCCUGCUUAGCCAUUGCCUAGCUCUGUAGCCUCGGAGGAGGCAGAUGACAAGAACAGAGGCACAAGGGGCUGAAAACAGUUCAGAUGCAGUUGCGAGGAAGAAAGACCUGUUGAUGGAGUUGUUCCCAAACACGCAUCCAGCCUAACUCCAAACUGCUCUUUGCAAACAAAAGACUCCCACCUCCCUCAAGGAGUGAUGAGACAAUGGAGUCCCUGUCACGCCACUGCUGCUCCGAAGGAACUGAAUUCUGGAAACAGAUUGUGGAGUGUUUACCAGCCGACAAGUAAAACUGAGGAACGUAAUCCCUCUGUGCCAUCCAUAAUCCUCUCUAAUGUGUCAAUGCCCUUAGAUUAAAUAGACUUUUCCAACCCAAUAGACUGACCUAAGUCAGGGGACAAUCAGGAAUUUGGGCCCUUCAUCUUUUCA